rnacentral:lncRNA from 1 species
AAGUUCUCAGCUUAUGUGUGUUUUUUCAAAAAAAGAGCUCAUGUUUUGGCUUUCGUUGGGAUCCUCAGCGAAUUUUUUCCUGCCUAACAGUUGAUUUUCUGCUCCUUGAAAGGCCAGCUCUUACGUGGGUGCUGAAGUUCGCUUUCAGUUUUAGAGAUUGUGUGCGCAGGUGACUUGACAUCUGCAGCCAUCGAGGUUAAGGGGACUGAGGCCCCAGGACACUUUUCAACAGUAACUGUGACCAGUCCAAGUGGUCAGAGUCAGUGGAAUUCCCAAGGAGACGGGGCCGGGAAGACUUCAUCUGAGGGGCUCACUCCUGGGACGAGCUAUCCAGUCAGCUUUUCAGACGCCUCUUCUACCUGCUGUCAAGUGCAAACAG